rnacentral:rRNA from 1 species
GACGAACGCUGGCGGCGUGCUUAACACAUGCAAGUCGAACGGAAAGGCCCUGCUUUUGUGGGGUGCUCGAGUGGCGAACGGGUGAGUAACACGUGAGUAACCUGCCCUUGACUUUGGGAUAACUUCAGGAAACUGGGGCUAAUACCGGAUAGGAGCUCCUGCUGCAUGGUGGGGGUUGGAAAGUUUCGGCGGUUGGGGAUGGACUCGCGGCUUAUCAGCUUGUUGGUGGGGUAGUGGCUUACCAAGGCUUUGACGGGUAGCCGGCCUGAGAGGGUGACCGGCCACAAUGGGACUAAGGUACGGCCCAGACUCCUACGGGAGGCAGCAGUGGGGAAUAUUGCACAAUGGGCGGAAGCCUGAUGCAGCAACGCCGCGUGCGGGAUGACGGCCUUCGGGUUGUAAACCGCUUUCGCCUGUGACGAAGCGUGAGUGACGGUAAUGGGUAAAGAAGCACCGGCUAACUACGUG